rnacentral:rRNA from 1 species
GUCUAUGGCCAUGCCACCCUGAACAAGCCCGAUCCUGUCUGAUCUUGGAAGCUAAGCAGGGUCGGACCUGGUUAGUACUUAAAUGGGAGACCACCUAGAAAGACCAGGUGCUGUAUAUG